rnacentral:rRNA from 1 species
UAGCACAGAGAGCUUGCUCUCGGGUGACGAGCGGCGGACGGGUGAGUAAUGUCUGGGAAACUGCCUGAUGGAGGGGGAUAACUACUGGAAACGGUAGCUAAUACCGCAUAACGUCGCAAGACCAAAGUGGGGGACCUUCGGGCCUCAUGCCAUCAGAUGUGCCCAGAUGGGAUUAGCUAGUAGGUGGGGUAACGGCUCACCUAGGCGACGAUCCCUAGCUGGUCUGAGAGGAUGACCAGCCACACUGGAACUGAGACACGGUCCAGACUCCUACGGGAGGCAGCAGUGGGGAAUAUUGCACAAUGGGCGCAAGCCUGAUGCAGCCAUGCCGCGUGUGUGAAGAAGGCCUUCGGGUUGUAAAGCACUUUCAGCGGGGAGGAAGGCGUUAAGGUUAAUAACCUUGGCGAUUGACGUUACCCGCAGAAGAAGCACCGGCUAACUCCGUGCCAGCAGCCGCGGUAAUACGGAGGGUGCAAGCGUUAAUCGGAAUUACUGGGCGUAAAGCGCACGCAGGCGGUCUGUCAAGUCGGAUGUGAAAUCCCCGGGCUCAACCUGGGAACUGCAUUCGAAACUGGCAGGCUAGAGUCUUGUAGAGGGGGGUAGAAUUCCAGGUGUAGCGGUGAAAUGCGUAGAGAUCUGGAGGAAUACCGGUGGCGAAGGCGGCCCCCUGGACAAAGACUGACGCUCAGGUGCGAAAGCGUGGGGAGCAAACAGGAUUAGAUACCCUGGUAGUCCACGCCGUAGACGAUGUCGAUUUGGAGGUUGUGCCCUUGAGGCGUGGCUUCCGGAGCUAACGCGUUAAAUCGACCGCCUGGGGAGUACGGCCGCAAGGUUAAAACUCAAAUGAAUUGACGGGGGCCCGCACAAGCGGUGGAGCAUGUGGUUUAAUUCGAUGCAACGCGAAGAACCUUACCUGGUCUUGACAUCCACAGAACUUUCCAGAGAUGGAUUGGUGCCUUCGGGAACUGUGAGACAGGUGCUGCAUGGCUGUCGUCAGCUCGUGUUGUGAAAUGUUGGGUUAAGUCCCGCAACGAGCGCAAC